UGGGGAAUUUUGGACAAUGGGCGAAAGCCUGAUCCAGCAAUGCCGCGUGUGUGAAGAAGGCCUUCGGGUUGUAAAGCACUUUUGUCCGGAAAGAAAUCCUUGGCUCUAAUACAGUCGGGGGAUGACGGUACCGGAAGAAUAAGCACCGGCUAACUACGUGCCAGCAGCCGCGGUAAUACGUAGGGUGCAAGCGUUAAUCGGAAUUACUGGGCGUAAAGCGUGCGCAGGCGGUUUGCUAAGACCGAUGUGAAAUCCCCGGGCUCAACCUGGGAACUGCAUUGGUGACUGGCAGGCUAGAGUAUGGCAGAGGGGGGUAGAAUUCCACGUGUAGCAGUGAAAUGCGUAGAGAUGUGGAGGAAUACCGAUGGCGAAGGCAGCCCCCUGGGCCAAUACUGACGCUCAUGCACGAAAGCGUGGGGAGCAAACAGGAUUAGAUACCCUGGUAGUCCACGCCCUAAACGAUGUCAACUAGAUGUUGGGGAUUCAUUUCCUUAGUAACGUAGCUAACGCGUGAAGUUGACCGCCUGGGGAGUACGGUCGCAAGAUUAAAACUCAAAUGAAUUGACGGGGUCAUAGCUGUUUCCUG
rnacentral:rRNA from 1 species